UUCUAAAGUCAUACCACCCUGAACGCACCUGAUCUCGUCUGAUCUCAGAAGCUAAGCAUGGUCGGGCCUGGUUAGUACUUGAAUGGGAGAGGGAGAGAGACAGAGAGGCACCUGUAGCCC
rnacentral:rRNA from 1 species